rnacentral:rRNA from 1 species
UAGGGAAUCUUCCACAAUGGACGCAAGUCUGAUGGAGCAACGCCGCGUGAGUGAAGAAGGUUUUCGGAUCGUAAAGCUCUGUUGUUGGUGAAGAAGGAUAGAGGCAGUAACUGGUCUUUAUUUGACGGUAAUCAACCAGAAAGUCACGGCUAACUACGUGCCAGCAGCCGCGGUAAUACGUAGGUGGCAAGCGUUGUCCGGCUUUAUUGGGCGUAAAGCGAGCGCAGGCGGAAUGAUAAGUCUGAUGUGAAAGCCCACGGCUCAACCGUGGAACUGCAUCGGAAACUGUCAUUCUUGAGUGCAGAAGAGGAGAGUGGAAUUCCAUGUGUAGCGGUGGAAUGCGUAGAUAUAUGGAAGAACACCAGUGGCGAAGGCGGCUCUCUGGUCUGCAACUGACGCUGAGGCUCGAAAGCAUGGGUAGCGAACAGG